UACGUAGGGGGCAAGCGUUGUCCGGAAUCAUUGGGCGUAAAGAGCUCGUAGGCGGUCUGUCGCGUCUGCUGUGAAAUCCCGGGGCUCAACCCCGGGCUUGCAGUGGAUACGGGCAGACUAGAGUUCGGUAGGGGAGACUGGAAUUCCUGGUGUAGCGGUGAAAUGCGCAGAUAUCAGGAGGAACACCGGUGGCGAAGGCGGGUCUCUGGACAGUUCCUGACGCUGAGGCACGAAGGCCAGGGGAGCAAACGGG
rnacentral:rRNA from 1 species